rnacentral:rRNA from 1 species
AUGCAAGUCGAACGAAGCUUGACGGAUGAUUUCUUCGGAAUGAAACCAGAUAUGACUUAGUGGCGGACGGGUGAGUAACACGUGAGCAACCUGCCUUUCAGAGGGGGAUAACGGCUGGAAACGGUCGCUAAUACCGCAUGAUGUGUUCGGAUGGCAUCAUCUGAACAUCAAAGAUUUAUCGCUGAAAGAUGGGCUCGCGUCUGAUUAGAUAGUUGGUGGGGUAACGGCCUACCAAGUCGACGAUCAGUAGCCGGACUGAGAGGUUGAACGGCCACAUUGGGACUGAGAUACGGCCCAAACUCCUACGGGAGGCAGCAGUGGGGAAUAUUGGGCAAUGGAGGAAACUCUGACCCAGCAACGCCGCGUGGAGGAAGAAGGUUUUCGGAUCGUAAACUCCUGUCCUUGGAGACGAGUAGAAGACGGUAUCCAAGGAGGAAGCCCCGGCUAACUACGUGCCAGCAGCCGCGGUAAUACGUAGGGGGCAAGCGUUGUCCGGAAUAAUUGAGCGUAAAGGGCGCGUAGGCGGCUCGGUAAGUCUGGAGUGAA